rnacentral:rRNA from 1 species
UACGAAGGGUGCUAGCGUUGUUCGGAAUCACUGGGCGUAAAGCGCGCGUAGGCGGCUUUUCAAGUCAGGGGUGAAAUCCCACAGCUUAACUGUGGAACUGCCUUUGAAACUGUAAAGCUAGAGUGUCGGAGGGGAUAGCGGAAUUGCUAAUGUAGAGGUGAAAUUCGUAGAUAUUAGCAGGAACACCGGUGGCGAAGGCGGCUCACUGGCCCGGUACUGACGCUGAGGUGCGAAAGCGUGGGGAGCAAACAGG